rnacentral:rRNA from 1 species
GGUGGCAGCAACUAGGAAUAUUGGGCAAUGGACGAAAGUCUGACCCAGCGACACCGCGUGGAGGAUGAAGGCCCUCGGGUUGUAAACUCCUUUUGCCAAGCUCUUCACGGCUUGGAGAAUAAGCCUCUACUAACUACGUGCCAGAAGUCUCGGUAAUGCGUAGGAGGCAAGCGUUAUCCGGAUUUAUUGGGCGUAAAGGGUGCGUAGGCGCCCCGCCAAGUUUCUAUUCAAAUGCUACGGCUUAACCGUAGAACCGGUAGAAAAACUGGCGGGGUUGAGGAUUGUUCGGGGCAUCGGAACAGUUGGUGUAGCGGUGAAAUGCGUUGAUAUCAACUGGAACACCGAAGGCGAAGGCAGAUGCCUGGGAUUCUCCUGACGCUGAGGCACGAAAGCUAGGGUAGCGAAACAGAUUAGAGACCUGUGUAGUCCUAGCUGUAAACUAUGUCCGCUAGAUUCGGGUCGUAAGAUCCGAGUCGCAGCUAACGCAUUAAGCGGACCGCCUGGGGAGUACGGCCGCAAGGCUAAAACUCAAAGGAAUUGACGGGGACCCGCACAACCAGUGGAGCGUGUGGUUCAAUUUGAGACGAAGCAAAAAACCUCACCAGGGUUUGACAUGCUACCGUUUUAUCCCGAUGGAAACAUCAGGAGAUCUUAUGAAAAUAAGAUGGUAGCACAGGUGCUGCAUGGCUGUCGUCAGCUCGUGGCGUGAGCUGUUCCAUUAAGUUGGGAAACGAGUGCAACCCCUAUCCUAUGUUAAAUAAUCAUAGGAGACUGCCCGAGCUUAGCUCGGGAGGAAGGAGGGGCGGACGUCAAGUCAGCAUGGCCCUUAUACCCUGGGCCACACACACCCUACAAUGGCGAAAAACAAUGGGUUGCAAGACGGCAACGUCACGCUAAUCCCUGAAAUUUCGCCUCAGUUCAGAUUGGGGUCUGAAACCCGACCCCAUGAAGUCGGAAUUGGUAGUAAUCGCGGAUCAGCAGGCCGCGGUGAAUACGUUCUCGGGUCUUGUACACACCGCCCGUCAAGGCAGUAAAGCCGGUAGUAGCAGAACCUCGAUUGUAUCGGGGGAUGCUAAGAUCGGUGAUAAGGCUUAAGUCGUAACAAGGUAUCCCUAGCCGAAGCUGGGGAUGGAUCACCUCCUUUCUA